AAUUACAAGGUUUCCGUAGGUGAACCUGCGGAAGGAUCAUUA
rnacentral:rRNA from 1 species